GAUGAAGAACGUAGCGAAAUGCGAUAAGUAAUGUGAAUUGCAGAAUUCAGUGGAUCAUCGAAUCUUUGAACGCACAUUGCGCCCCUUGGUAUUCCGAGGGGCAUGCCUGUUCGAGCGUCAUUAUAACCCCUCAAGCUCAGCUUGGUGUUGGGGCCUGCUGCACUGGCAGCCCUUAAAAUCAGUGGCGGCGCCAUCUGGCUCUAAGCGUAGUAAUUCUUCUCGCUAUGGAGUCCUGGUGGAUGCUUGCCAUCAACCCCCAAUUUUUCUAUGGUUGACCUCGGAUCAGGUAGGGAUACCCGCUGAACUUAAGCAUAUCAAUAAGCGGAGGA
rnacentral:misc_RNA from 1 species